rnacentral:rRNA from 1 species
UACGUAGGGUGCGAGCGUUGUCCGGAAUUACUGGGCGUAAAGAGCUCGUAGGUGGUUUGUCGCGUUGUUCGUGAAAACUCACAACUCAAUUGUGGGCGUGCGGGCGAUACGGGCAGACUGGAGUACUGCAGGGGAGACUGGAAUUCCCGGUGUAGCGGUGAAAUGCGCAGAUAUCGGGAGGAACACCGGUGGCGAAGGCGGUUCUCUGGGCCUGUACUGACGCUGAGGAGCGAAAGCGUGGGGAGCAAACAGG